rnacentral:rRNA from 1 species
UACGUAGGGUGCAAGCGUUGUCCGGAAUUAUUGGGCGUAAGAGCUCGUAGGCGGUUUGUCGCGUCGGAUGUGAAAACCUGGGGCUUAACUCCGGGCCUGCAUUCGAUACGGGCAGACUAGAGUUCGGUAGGGGAGACUGGAAUUCCUGGUGUAGCGGUGAAAUGCGCAGAUAUCAGGAGGAACACCGAUGGCGAAGGCAGGUCUCUGGGCCACUACUGACGCUGAGAAGCGAAAGCAUGGGGAGCGAACAGG